UGAUUCUUUCUUGGCUUUGUUUGUCCAUUUUGUCCAAUUCUUUGUUCAGAAUGCCAAGAACCUGGACACUCUCCGACGGUAACAUGGAGACACUGAGAGAAGGUGGCCAUCUGUAAGCCAAGGAGAGAGACCUUAGAAGAAACCAAACCUGCCAAUACCUUGAUCUUGGACCUCCAGCCUCCAGUCAUGAGAAAAUAAAUAAAAUAAAUUUCUAUUGUUUAACCACCCAGCCCGUGGUAUUUUGUUAUGGUAGCCCCAGCCGACUAACACAGUUGCUUAAGAGAGCUGGGUGUGAUCUGGAUCCCUGCUAACCUGGGGUUCACUCUUUCGCCAUUCUCCUUUGCUCAUGGCCCUCCAGCCACACUGGUCUUUUCUAGUUUCUAGAAGGUCUCAGCUGACAUAUCAUUUCCUCAGAAGUGCCUUCCUGACCACCCCGUGGAAGAGAAGUGUCUCCCUCUCCCUGAUAUUCUCUAUCCCUGGCCAUGGUUUGUUUCUUUACAGAUUUUUAUCAUGUUUUGUGAUAAUUUUGUUUGUUUACUUUUGUCAAGUCUUUUGUUUGUCUUUCCAAUAGUAGACCUUAAACUCCCAUGUAGGCAGAAACAUGCCUGUCUUACUCAUUGUUAUAUCCCAGUGGCCUAGCACAUUCUAGACCUUCAAUAAAUAAUUUC
rnacentral:lncRNA from 1 species